CGUUUCAAAUGGUCCCUGCGAAACAUGAUGACAAUCCCACGGUUUAAACUGGACCCUGCAGACAGGCCUAAGACCGUGGACCUGAUGCUGUCAUGUGACAGGCAGGAGGCCGUCAACAGGACGGAAUCAUUGGGGAAGAUCCCGAGGAACGACCUGGUGGAGCGUUUGCCUGCUACACAAGGUAGAAACACACAGCACU